CGAGCCUCGGGGAAUUCCGCUCGUUGGUCGGCCAAGGCUGGCGCAAGCCGAGGCGACCGGUCGGGGCUUCAGGCUAGUCUGCUCCCGGGAUGAUCAUCGGGUUAGCCUGGCAUCCGAGGGCCGAGCCUCGGGAAAUUCCGCUCGUUGGCCACGCGCCUGUCACUUGCCGCUCGACGGGAUUUCUCCGUGGCCAGCUGCGAUCGUGUUUCUCCCCCUCUCG
rnacentral:lncRNA from 1 species